UUUCCUAAAAAAUGUUGUCUGUUGCAAAUGGGAUUUUUUAUAUGCAUUAUUCACUAAAACUCUUGUCUACCUUUAGAGUUUUCUAAACUGUAUGAACCAACCACUUUCUAUUUCUUGCCAUAAUGACUUACUAGGAAAAAAGUCUAUCAAAUAACUUGGAUUGCCUUUGUUCUCAUUUUGUUCCCUCUUGGUACUCUAUCCCCCAAGACUUCAUCAUCGGUUCAGUUGUGUCCUGCAUGAGCCCUUUGGGAAUCUACCUUUCUCAACAUAGGCCAUCUCCUCUGUUCCUUUUCUUCAGGCCCUGAGAGUCUCUGCUUCCUGAUGCUCUAUAAAGUUAUCAUACUUCAUUGAUGAAAAUUAUUACUCUGUCAGGAUUUUGUUUUGAAGAUGUACCCAGGAGCAUUGUGGCGGGUCAGUGAAAUAGAUGGUCCUUGUAUGAGGUUCUCGUCUCGUGAGAAUUUGAUGGUUGCACUCUGCAGUGUGCAUAGGCCAAAAGGACCAAAGGCAGAAUCUUCAAACUCAGAAAUCAGGUAAUUCAAUUCCUCAUAAUGGUACUUCAUCUCUCUAAUAAUUUCUCUUAGACUUUGCUAGACAUCUACAGUCACUACGCAGAGGGAAGUAAAGAAAAACUACCCACUUAUAUCUGGUGAUUUGCAUUUGGCAUUAUUGCUAGAGGAUUACAUAAACUUACUUUAUAAUUUAAAAAUAACUUACUUCAUUCAUAUAAACCCUGUACUUGUAGCGUAAUUAUACCAUACACAUUUCAGUAAUAAAAAGAGAAAGUGAGAACUAGAUUAGAUAGGAGCAACAUUUUAUCAUUAGCUACUCUUAAAAUUGCUUUGUAAUACUGUAAUUUCUGUGAACUUUUUAUGAAUAAAGUAUUGAAGUAAAAUGAUAACAGUGUGUGGAAUUUUACAGGAUAUGUUUAUAACUUACAUUUCUAAUAAACACAGUCUUUGAAAGAGGAAUAGAAGGCCUAUUACUUGUGAAAAUCUCUUCCAUUUAUACUGUCAUCUUAGUGUUUUCCCUUCCCAUUAUGCUGACAGAAUUACCACAUUAACACAAUAGCCUGCAUUAUGAUGACAAAAUUAUGGCAUUAUAUCAGUAGACCAUAAAGAAAUGGUUCUAUUAAUAAAAAUAUUUCUUUACAAAUUGGAUUUCUUUAUUACUUUCUGUAGAAAGGAUCUAUUACAUGAAAAUACAGCAAAGUACUUCUAAAUCCAAUGCUGUUCUUUAGUGGUGUUUAACUGAGUGAUUAUUUCCAUCACAAGAGUAAUGAUAAUGUCCUUUCAUUAUUUAUAACCUUAUAACGUCACUUAUUUGUACACAGCUUUAAAGAUGAUACAUCAAUUGUCAUACCAUCCAAAGGCACAUGUUGUUCUGUUUUUUCCUCACCACUAUCUCCCCCACUUCCCUCAAAAAGAGAAAUUUUAGGAACACCAGAAUACAACAAUUUCAGAUCCUAUUGCAUUAUGGUCCUCAGAAAACAAAUUGAAAGCAUAUGGUUUUUAAGAAUGAUCCAGAGGCAGAUAGUUUGAGCAUUUCAAUAUGCAAGUAAAUAUAAAAUCACUCUUCUUUUUAAAAAUAUUAUCCACAUACAUGUAAACUGUGGGCAGUCAGGUCACAGCAAUGUUUAAAGAUCUGGAUACCACACUAAAGUGAAGACAAGUUAACUUUUCUUUCCUGAGUUAAUGGCUACUCCUCUCAUUUAUUUAUCUAUAUCUGCAGCUACACUGAAAAUCCUAUGUGCAGAUAUUUUGGGUUGACAGAGUGUCAGAAAAAAAAGAAUUUAAAAACAUUUUGUAAUUCCAUUAGGUGCUUAUAUUGGAAAUUUCACUCCUGCUUCAGCUCAGUUGGCAUGUAACCCAUGUGCUGGUAGAUUUUACAUUUGCAAAUAUGAUUCAUUUACAGUUAAGUUCUCUUCCACGGUGUGAGGUAUGGGUCUAGGUUAUUAUUGUAGUUUACAUAUGGAUAUCCAAUAUUCCCAUUGCAUUUAUUAAAAAGACAGUUCUUUCUCAAAUGAAUUACUUCUGCAUGCAACAAAUUCAGUUGUCCACAUAUGCAUGAAUCUCAUUCUGGAAUUCUCUAACCUGUUUUAUUGAUCUGUUUAUCUUUACACUGGUACUGCAUUUCCUUUAAAAUAAGUAGCAUUAAUAAAAGUCUUGAAAUCAGCCAAUGUGAGUCCCCCAAUUUUAUUCUUUUUUUUCGAGAUUAUUUUGGCUAUUUUGCUUAACUAGCCUUUGAUUUUCCAGAUGAAUUUUAGAAU
rnacentral:lncRNA from 1 species